rnacentral:SRP_RNA from 1 species
UGCCGGUCCCCUCGCAAUGAUCAACCGUGAACUCCGCCAGGCCCGGAAGGGAGCAACGGUAGCGGUGGUAUCAUGUGCCGGGGUGUGGCUGGUGGGG